GCCUGGGUGGCUCAGUCGGUUGAGCGUCUGACUUCGGCUCAGGUCAUGAUCUCGCAGUCUGUGAGUUCGAGCCCCGCGUCGGGCU
rnacentral:tRNA from 1 species